rnacentral:piRNA from 1 species
UAAUGGUUCCCGAAGGUUAGUCCUCGAUGGU